rnacentral:misc_RNA from 1 species
UACAGAGGGUGCGAGCGUUAAUCGGAAUUACUGGGCGUAAAGCGUGCGUAGGCGGUUUGAUAAGUCGGGUGUGAAAGCCCCGGGCUCAACCUGGGAAUUGCAUUCGAAACUGUCAGGCUAGAGUCUAGGAGAGGGAAGCGGAAUUCCGGGUGUAGCGGUGAAAUGCGUAGAUAUCCGGAGGAACAUCAGUGGCGAAGGCGGCUUCCUGGCCUAAGACUGACGCUGAGGCACGAAAGCGUGGGGAGCAAACAGG